rnacentral:misc_RNA from 1 species
GAGUUGCUAUAGGAUAUCAGUAUUUUUUACUUGUCAAAAUCUCAAUUUUCUUUUAUUCAUAUUAUGAAAUCAAUUUACUUAUCUAUGCUUAAAUUUCAGUGUGGACAUGGUGAUAAUGUUAUGUAAAUUUGCGGUUUUGUUUCCGUUGUCUUACCAAGUGAAUUUAUUGCCAUAAAUAUCGUUUGCGUGAAUAUAGAGCAGUGAUGCAGCGUUUGGUUUAUUUUCUGCAUUUUGAUCCUCUUUAAUUAUCUGGUGUCAAGACUUCAUCAUUUAGAUAGAAGAAUGUUCAAUAGGAAUACGGACAUAGAGCGCCCACUUCUUAACGGCCUUCGAGUCCAAAUUCAUG